UCCUCGUUAGUAUAGUGGUGAGUAUCCCCGCCUGUCACGCGGGAGACCGGGGUUCAAUGCCCCGACGGGGAG
rfam:Ciona savignyi cont_30810, whole genome shotgun sequence.